rnacentral:misc_RNA from 1 species
CGGAAACUGUCCUGGAUAAUACAUUCUGCCUCCAGAUAUUGGCCAUGUUUUGCUAAAGCAUUUACUAGUACACUGAAAGUGACAGCAUCUGGAGCAAGUCCUUGCUCAACCAUAUUUUGGUAGAGGUGAUUGGCAUCAUCAACUUCGCCACAUUUGCAGUACGCAUCAAUUCCAGCCAUAUACAAAACUCUUCCAAUUUUG